CCCUUAGAUGUUCUGGGCCGCACGCGCGCUACACUGAUGCAUUCAACGAGUCUAAAACCUGCUCUGAUAGGGGUGGGUAAUCUUUUGAAUGUGCAUCGUGAUUGGGAUAGAUGAUUGCAAUUUUUCAUCUUCAACGAGGAAUGCCUAGUAAACGCAAGUCAUCAGCUUGCAUUGAUUACGUCCCUGCCCUUUGUACACACCGCCCGUCGCUCCUGCCGAUUGAAUGAUCCGAUGAAUAUCAUGGAUUGAGGAUGCAAGCAGGUUCGCCUGUCUUCAUCUUCGAGAAGUGAAGUAAAUCUUAUCAUUUAGAGGAAGGAGAAGUCGUAACA
rnacentral:rRNA from 1 species